GUGCCACUUUAGAAGCACAUAUACUAAUGAUUGGGAAGAUAUAGAUAAUAUUCGCAUGGGCCCUGUGCAACGAAGACAUGCAAAUUUGUGAAAUGUUCCACACAAAA
rnacentral:snRNA from 1 species